rnacentral:rRNA from 1 species
UACAGAGGGUGCAAGCGUUGUCCGGAUUUACUGGGCGUAAAGAGCGCGCAGGCGGUCGAUCAAGUCGAGUGUGAAAGCCCCCGGCUCAACUGGGGAGGGUCAUUCGAUACUGAUCGACUCGAAGGCAGGAGAGGGUAGUGGAAUUCCCGGUGUAGUGGUGAAAUGCGUAGAUAUCGGGAGGAACACCAGUGGCGAAGGCGACUACCUGGCCUGUUCUUGACGCUGAGGCGCGAAAGCUAGGGGAGCAAACGGG